UACGAAGGGGGCUAGCGUUGCUCGGAAUCACUGGGCGUAAAGCGCACGUAGGUGGCUUUUUAAGUCAGGGGUGAAAUCCUGGAGCUCAACUCCAGAACUGCCUUUGAUACUGAGAGCUUGAGUCCGGGAGAGGUGAGUGGAACUGCGAGUGUAGAGGUGAAAUUUCGUAGAUAUUCGCAAGAACACCAGUGGCGAAGGCGGCUCACUGGCCCGAUACUGACGCUGAGGCACGAAAGCGUGGGGAGCAAACAGG
rnacentral:rRNA from 1 species